AUGACGUAGGUUCAUUGCAGGAACCUGCAUGUUGUUAUAGAUGGGAAAUGCAUGCUAAUAUGACCGGUGUGGGCUUGCAGGUCCAUGCAUGCCACUCUCAAGCAAAUGCCAAGUUUCCAUUGUAUGAAUCUUCCUUGACCUUGCUGCACUUUGCAGGGCUUGUUUGGUUAAUCCUUUUGUCUGUGCAAUAGAAUGCUCAUAGGUCUUGAGCUUUACCCUGAUCCUCUCGUCCAACAAAAAAAAAAUCUUUUUAGGCAUUGCGUUAGGGAACAUAUCUGGGUGAUAAUGUGACAAUUUUUGCCUCUAUAACCUUUCUUUUCUCCCAUCUUCAGUGAAGUUGUCAACCACCUGUCACUUUGUUCGAACAGAGUGCCAUGCAUUGACAAAAAUUCUCAUCACAACAAGAAAAUCUCUGAAGGAGAUUUUUGAGACUGACUAGGACUUCGUCUUGGGCAACACCAAACCGAAGAAGUUGUCGAUCACUUUGGACUUUUCUCAAACAGGGUGUUGUCCGGUGAUUGAAUUUCUCUUCACACAAGGACAGAUUGUGAAGGAGAUUUUGUAAACUAUCAGCAGCAGUAGAGAACAAGGCACAAAGAAUAAAGGAAAUUGAUGGA